CACAGCGGGGGAGAGGUAUGCAGCAAACAGAAUGAGGAAAACAUUGACUUUGCUUUUCCAGAUAGCAAGGAAGAGCUGGAAAGGCUCCUCUGGAAUGCCCGCUGAGGUCUACUGUCCCUUUUCACAUAAGGUUAGUAUUGGGUAAUCUUGAAGUGCUGCAAAUAUGGACAAGCUUUGUUGAAGCCUAAGGCCUUCUCAAAGGAAUUUCCGCCCUUUGACUUAUUUUAAGUUUGGUUUUCCCUGCUCUCUCCACUGCCUCCUGCUUUCCACUGCACAAUUAUUUUGUUUUCCUUCUGUUUUCCUAUGUCAUUACUGCACUUUCCAGUGCCACCAUCUUGAAGCCAGAUGUCAUACAAAGAGUCUGGAGUAAAUCUAAAGCAGCGUAUAUAUUUAUUAUCCUGCUGGAGGAAUCUAGGUGAAGCUGUAGGAGCAGGUCACAGGAGUUUCAUAUGAAAUUAGCUGAGCUCCUCCAGUUUUAUUUGCUCCAAUCUAUGAAGAAGUAGAAGACCCCUUAUUAUAGUUUUUACACAGGAGGAGUGAGCCCUGACACUGGGAACUAUACCCUACCUACUGAUCCCUUGUUCUGUUGAGGUUAAAAAGUGACAGAGUCCAUCCCUAUAGUUCUUCACAGAAAGUGCCCGGGCAAGUGAUUCUGAUGCUUGCAAGGAGAAACUUGUUGUGCUUUUAUGUAAUGUGUUAAUUAGUGUGGGUGGAUAUGAUCAGAUCUAGUCUUGCAAGCCUCUCAGACAACUCCCUGGACGCUCCCACCUUCAGAUAUUAACAGAUAGCAUCACACUUGCCAAAUCUCAUAAGAAUCCGGUAACAGAUUUAAUGCAAGCAGAGCAUAAGUAGGUGCAUUUAUUUCAAAGAGAACAUAUCUGUUUGUAGCAGACACUAUUUUGGCCUUGUGUUUUCCUCUAGCUGAAAUGCAACUGUUGAGAAAAGAAUACAGGGUGACCUUGGAUCAUCUCUUUUGUAUUUAUUUCUUCAUGUGGCUUUAAUAAACUUAAUCUUGGUGACAGCCACCUUUUUGACAGCACUUGGUCAUAAAUUUGGGGCUAAAGCAAGAUUAUGUCAAAUGUAAUCUUUUGAAUUUUUCACCAAACGACCAACAGCCCUGAGAAUCAGAAUAUUCUGCACUGUCUUUGUAGCUCUUACCUCCCUGCUGCUAAGAUCUUUCAACCUGGUGUUCUGCUCAGCCUGCUGAGACCUCACUCACAAGCAGCAGUUACAUUCUCUAGUGAACAAAAUCAUCUUCCUUAGGAUGCUUUUCUGAAGGAGAUUUUGCAAUGUGGAUAGUGGUGGGCAUCUCUCACAGAUUCCAGCGACUAACUUAGAGAUGGACAUGGAGAAAACCAGGACUUUACCCUCUCCCUGCCAUUCAUUCUGUUUAAUCUGGUGUUCAGUCACUUUUUUUGUGGCUGAUAAACUGCCUCUCUAUUCUGCUGAGAUCACCUCAGUACGUUUCCUCGAUCCUUUCAUGGAGCUGACAGCUUCAACAGAAAUGACCUUUCUGUAUUCUGGAGCAGAGUCAGAUCAGCAGGGUAACGUGUGAGGGAAGAGCAGACUCUGCUUUGGUGGGGCUGAGGUACCACAGGUGGAAGAUGCAGGACACAACUUGAAUGUUGCCAGUACCAUCAAAGGUAGAGAGUUCCCCUGCACCUGUCAUCUUUUCCUGAAACAUAACACCCUCUUGUGUUUCUGUAACAAAUCCCUCAAGCUGGUGCUUUAGCAGAAACGUAGUACUGAUCCAUCCUGUGUGGACUGGAUACAACUGAAAAGCGUGUAGACCUCUGAGGAGACAAUUUCUGUUUUCACACCUUUGUCAUUUCCUUGUGCUCACCUUGGCUGUGGGCAUCGUGAGACAUUAACACAGAGAAAAAGAAUCAAGGCAAGUGUAUAUGCUGUUUUUUCUGCAUAAACAUAGGAAAUAACAGUUCCUCCUUAAACAAGGGAGAAAGCACUAGAAUUUGAGCUUGAGAGUGGCCAAAGAGUAAGUACAAGAGGAAACAAAAUAGAGGAUAGAUGCAGUCUGAGGGGGAGUGUGGGGACCAUAAACAGAGGCAAGGCACCAUUUUAUAUUCCUGAGGUUACAUGAAAGUAGAAGCAUGUGAUUUCCAUCCAAAUCCAAAGUCUAUAAAAGAAGCAUGUUGUUACUUACGCUCACUCCUAUGGGUCACCAUGCCCUAAAAGGCAGUCCAUUAACUUUGUAGCUUGCUGGCUCUAAACACCCCAAUACACCUACACCAGUUACUGUUUGCUGUCUCUUGUUUUCUUGAGGAAGGGAAAGCAACCCAUGCAUGUCCAAACAAAGAAGGGUCAGUUUGACUCACUGCUCACUUAUUCCUGCCCAGCUGCCUGGGUGUUACAAGGCCACGUGGUUCUCUGGCUUGUGUCAGUAGUCUUGCUGACCUCGUGCUACCAGGUAGAUGUGGUUCACUUUCCUGUUAUUUUUUUUUUUAAAUUGAAUCUUAUUUAUCUGAAAGAGUUGUCUCUGUAUUGUGCAGAGGAAGACUGCGUAGAAAGCCGAGGUAAAUAUAAUCACUGAACAAAUUGAUUUCAAAUUAUGUUCCCACAAGAAACUUUCGGAAAAAAAAGAUAGCUUAAAGAAUGAGAUAGCCAGCACAACACUGAAUUGUCUGUGACUUUCAAUAUUAUAGAUGAUGCAGUAUUAGCGAUCUGACAUGUUUCUCAGCUGUCUGCUAUUGCGAAAUGGAUUUUCACCCACAUCAAUUACUAUAAUACUUUUGAACCUCCAAAUGCAUUUGGCUUCUCUGUUGACCUGUUGGUAUAACUGAUGUUUAACAAGCAUGUUAGUCAAAUGAGCCUCGAACUUCUUCAUGAGGGAUCUGAUGCUGACACAGAAAAGUAAUUUCGGAAGAAAACAAGUGUCGAUGUCCUGCAGUGUAAGUUGCUACAUAUGUUGAAAACCAGAGAAGUCAUGUACCAACAGCUACGUUUAAUCAUUCAAUAGAACGUUCUGCUUCCAUCAUUACAGGCUGAUAGCACUGAGCCUUCUGACCUCAUUUUGGUUGUUUUAAACAGAGAGCCUCAAUGCAUCUUCACUCCAGUUUUAAAAUAGGUUUCCCAGUACACAUUUAAACACAUUACAGAAUUGUAAGUUUUCUUAUGUAAAAACUGUUAUUUGUUUCUUAAUUCAGACAAAUACUCCUGACAGCUCUCAUUUCCUACAUCAAUUAAGAAAAUGAUCUUAAUUCUUUCCAAUUCUUCUGCCCAGUAUUUCGGAGCACUGACGCUUUCUGGCUGGAGAUGUCACAUUUGUCGUGAUGUGAUCUGCUAGGUAGCCAUUGCAAUCUUCAGUAAUUCCCUUUAAAAACCUCUUCAUAUUCUCAAUCAGCUUUGCCAAUGGCUCCUAAUCGCACCCAACGGAGUAAGUUUUAUUCUGUCUUUCUUCUUCAGUGAACCGAGUUCUUGCAAAUGAACUCUCAGAGGAAACCUUCUUGUGAAUGAGCCACAGGAGCCACGCUGCGUUUAUUUUACUUGGGCUUAUAUUAGGUCUGGUUUUUGCUGAUCCCUUCAUUUUUCAUCGUUUUGCCUGUCUCUUCCAAUUGUUCCUCUUGGGGAGGCCUGUGUUUGGGAAGUUUCUGAGCCAGAAUGCUGUGCAAUCUGCAGAAUGCAGAUUAUUCAUCUCGGCGCCUUCCCUUGGGGCAGUCUCACCUGUGCGUGCCUGCGUCCGCACCUUCUCACACAUUAACACGGCAAACUGCCCUAAAUAUCUUUGAGAUUAGCUUCUUUUAAAGCAUUAAAUGUACCAAGAGGAGCUGGCAUUCCUUCUGCCUCAGGAGUUGAGAACUGCAUGUUCUUUUUAACACGCACAGGAUUUGAAUUGGAGCUGGGAAGGACUGUUAGGUAGUGAUUGAGCAGAACAUCACCUUAUGGUUAAAG
rnacentral:lncRNA from 1 species